rnacentral:rRNA from 1 species
UACAGAGGGGGCAAGCGUUGUUCGGAAUUACUGGGCGUAAAGGGCUCGUAGGCGGCCAACUAAGUCGGAUGUGAAAUCCCCAGGCUUAACCUGGGAACUGCAUCCGAUACUGGAUGGCUUGAAUUCGGGAGAGGGAUGCAGAAUUCCAGGUGUAGCGGUGAAAUGCGUAGAUAUCUGGAGGAAUACCGGUGGCGAAGACGGCAUCCUGGACCGAGAUUGACGCUGAUGAGCGAAAGCUAGGGGAGCAAACGGGG